rnacentral:rRNA from 1 species
AGUGAACGCUGGCGGUAGGCCUAACACUUGCAAGUCGAACGGCAGCACAGUAAGAGCUUGCUCUUACGGGUGGCGAGUGGCGGACGGGUGAGGAAUACAUCGGAAUCUACUUUUUCGUGGGGGAUAACGUAGGGAAACUUACGCUAAUACCGCAUACGACCUACGGGUGAAAGCAGGGGAUCUUCGGACCUUGCGCGAUUGAAUGAGCCGAUGUCGGAUUAGCUAGUUGGCGGGGUAAAGGCCCACCAAGGCGACGAUCCGUAGCUGGUCUGAGAGGAUGAUCAGCCACACUGGAACUGAGACACGGUCCAGACUCCUACGGGAGGCAGCAGUGGGGAAUAUUGGACGAUGGGCGCAAGCCUGAUCCAGCCAUACCGCGUGGGUGAAGAAGGCCUUCGGGUUGUAAAGCCCUUUUGUUGGGAAAGAAAAGCAGCAGGUUAAUACCCCGCUGUUCUGACGGUACCCAAAGAAUAAGCACCGGCUAACUUCGUG